CAAAGAUCCUCACAAUUUCUGAAGCUGAUCUCCACCAGCAAUUUGUUAUGGACGCAAUUCUACGAAUUGAAAAGUUGAAAAUGUCAGGUUCAACAGCUGAAGGAGCUGCAAGCUCAGGAACAGAGAGGACUCAGCUAGCUGAUGAUCACAAUGAUGAAAACAUCGAACAACCGGAACCUUCAGCAAGUGAAGGUCACUUCUUAGAGGUGCAAGUUUCAUAGAAGAGCACAGCAAUGUUGCGGAUACCAACUUAAGUUUCUCUAAGUUUAUAUGGUUUUCAUAAAAGCAAACCGUUGUUAAUUACUUCGGUCUAGUCAAGCAGUUGUUCCCUUUAUCAACAGUGUCGAGGGUUUAAGGUUUAAAGCCCUCUUCUUAGGUUUCUUUAAAUGUAUGGAUAUAGAGUAAAAAAAAACUCGGUAGGGUUGCUAGCAGUUCUUGCUA